UACGUAGGUGGCAAGCGUUGUCCGGAUUUAUUGGGUUUAAAGAGUCCGUAGGCGGCAUGUUAGGUGAGGUGUGAAAUCCCCCGGCUCAACCGAGGAAUUGCGCUUCAAACCGGCGUGCUCGAGGAAGAUAGAGGUGGGCGGAACUGAUGGUGGAGCGGUGAAAUGCGUUGAUAUCAUCAGGAACACCGGAGGCGAAGGCGGCCCACUGGGUCUUUUCUGACGCUGAGGGACGAAAGCUAGGGGAGCGAACGGG
rnacentral:rRNA from 1 species